UUACAUAUAAAAAAAAUAUCACAAUUCACAACAUUAAAAUUAAUAAUAAACACUAAACAGCUUAAUUUUUACUAUCGUUCUUUAGAAUUUAACAAUAUUAUGAUUGAGAAUAAACAAUUUAAAUGUGUUAAUUGUAGUAAAAAUGUUGGUGCACUGUUUAGAAACUAUGGACCGUCUGUUUUAAAAUUGAGUAAAUGUGAGCACUGUAAAGGUAUAGUGGAUAAAUAUAUAGAAUAUGAUCCAGUCAUUGUAAUGAUUGAUCUUGUACUGAUCUCAAAAGAAGCCCAGAGACAUAUUAUAUUUAAUACUGAUUUUAAAGCGUAUUGGAAGCUUUUUAUAAUAUUAAUGAUGUUAGAGACAUAUGGAAUAUGGAGAAAUGAUAGCCUAUUUAACAUAAUUGUUAACUCUCUCUGUAAUAUACAAAAUAACAGUACCACUAACACUACAUUUAUUAAAUUGCCUCAACAGCUGCUUUUGAAUAAUUUAGAAUCAUACAACAUGGACUGUAUGGAUUGGGCUCGAGAAGAAAAAGAUGGUGUGGACUUAUUUAUAUGGGAAAAAGAUUUUUAUAUACAGUUUAUAUCAACAUUGAUGGGAAUAAUUGUGUUUAUAUUAAUUGUUCAUAGCACAAUGCGACUAUUCAGCACUUACACUCAGAAUACAAAAGUGGGUAUUGUUAAACUGUUGAAAUCUUAUUCAUUGGCUAACACAAGCCUGUUAUUCACUCUACCUACUCUAGUGUGGGGUACACAGGAGACAUCACCUGAGACAAGACUACUCCACUAUUUACUAGUAUUUCUCUAUAUGUUCACUGUUUUCUACAAUGUUUUUACUGAAUAACAAUUGGGAAAAAGCUUUUGUGAAAAACAUUUUGAUAGGCAGCCGUUUAACCACGAAGGUCGAAGACUGCGGUACUCUUGUAUUGAUGUCAAAUGAAGAAAUAGUUCAUGGUGUUUCUGUUAGUGCUCUAAAGUACUUCAAGCACUCAACAUGAUUAUUGUUUGGGGCCAAAAUUGAAAAAGUGCAUAUAUUUAUCUGUUCCUCUGAAGUUAUGCAAGAUGCUUUAAUAUGUGACAAAGGGUCCAACUACAAUCAUCAGGAAUCAAAUGGAAUAUUCUACAAAAAUUUGGAAUCACAAAGAUGAAUCCAAUAUUUUAUAAUUCACCUCAUAAUGUUGAAAAACAGUUUUUUAAAUAAAGAAAGAUGGAGAAGGACAGCAUGGAAAGACAUUUCAUUCAUAUAUGAUGUUAAAGCAAAUAUACAAUGUACAUACACAUCAUAAUAUUUACAUGAUAAUUUUUAAAUACUUGAUACAUCAUAGUAUUUGUGCAAAAGUAUAAAGGGGAAGUCAAAACAUAACAUGUUUGUAAACGGAUGAUCAUGUAGAAAUAAAUAAAUACUUCAAAUAUUU